CGUAGCAGGGAGAUACUGAAGUUGUAUAUGAACUGAACAAGGAGAAUCCAGCUAGCUUCCUUGCUCCAACAAAAAUGACAGCAUAGCUCUUUACAAAUACACAGAGAAAAGAACCUUCUCUUUUUCCCAGCGAUGCUUGACGGGCAGCAUUGCGUGCUCUCGAAUCGACUCCCUGAACCUUGAAAUGGAACUCUGUUGAUUAUUAUAGAGGACAAGAGCAGCCGCAAGCAAUAAUUCAUCGUCAUCAUUGGAGGAAUCGUCGGACGACAUAUUAAUGAACUCGUUGAAGAAAAACAACUCAAGAUCGCCC
rnacentral:lncRNA from 1 species